rnacentral:tRNA from 2 species
ACUUGAAUAGCUUAUGGAUUAGAGCACGACACUGAAGAUGUCGGUGAGGUAUUUUGUUGCCUUUGAGUA